rnacentral:rRNA from 1 species
GACGAACGCUUGGCGGCGUGCUUAACACAUGCAAGUCGAACGGAAAGGCCCUGCUUUUGUGGGGUGCUCGAGUGGCGAACGGGUGAGUAACACGUGAGUAACCUGCCCUUGACUUUGGGAUAACUUCAGGAAACUGGGGCUAAUACCGGAUAGGAGCUCCUGCUGCAUGGUGGGGGUUGGAAAGUUUCGGCGGUUGGGGAUGGACUCGCGGCUUAUCAGCUUGUUGGUGGGGUAGUGGCUUACCAAGGCUUUGACGGGUAGCCGGCCUGAGAGGGUGACCGGCCACAUUGGGACUGAGAUACGGCCCAGACUCCUACGGGAGGCAGCAGUGGGGAAUAUUGCACAAUGGGCGGAAGCCUGAUGCAGCAACGCCGCGUGCGGGAUGACGGCCUUCGGGUUGUAAACCGCUUUCGCCUGUGACGAAGCGUGAGUGACGGUAAUGGGUAAAGAAGCACCGGCUAACUACGUGCCAGCAGCCGCGGUGAUUACGUAGGGUGCGAGCGUUGUCCGGAUUUAUUGGGCGUAAAGGGCUCGUAGGUGGUUGAUCGCGUCGGAAGUGUAAUCUUGGGGCUUAACCCUGAGCGUGCUUUCGAUACGGGUUGACUUGAGGAAGGUAGGGGAGAAUGGAAUUCCUGGUGGAGCGGUGGAAUGCGCAGAUAUCAGGAGGAACACCAGUGGCGAAGGCGGUUCUCUGGGCCUUUCCUGACGCUGAGGAGCGAAAGCGUGGGGAGCGAACAGGCUUAGAUACCCUGGUAGUCCACGCUGUAAACGGUGGGUACUAGGUGUGGGGUCCAUUCCACGGGUUCCGUGCCGUAGCUAACGCUUUAAGUACCCCGCCUGGGGAGUA